rnacentral:rRNA from 1 species
CAGCCGCCACGGGAAUACGUAGGGUGCAAGCGUUGUCCGGAAUUAUUGGGCGUAAAGAGCUCGUAGGCGGUUUGUCGCGUCUGCUGUGAAAACCCGAGGCUCAACCUCGGGCCUGCAGUGGGUACGGGCAGACUAGAGUGCGGUAGGGGAGAUUGGAAUUCCUGGUGUAGCGGUGGAAUGCGCAGAUAUCAGGAGGAACACCGAUGGCGAAGGCAGAUCUCUGGGCCGUAACUGACGCUGAGGAGCGAAAGCAUGGGGAGCGAACAGGAUUAGAUACCCCCGUAGUCCCUGUCUCUUAUAC